GAGUUGAAUUUCUUGCCAAACUUUCCUAAUGGCGAAAAUGAAGAAAGCCAAGAAUGUACAAGAAUAGAACUUGUAGAAGAAAUGAAAAGGAGGCCUCUAAACAUGAGCUUGAUUGGCCAAAAGAUGGACAGUACAUUUGCCUUGAGACGAAAAGAAAUUGUCCACUCUGAACCUCUUGUCAGUGACAUCUUGGAAAAGUGGCCGGCACUUUUUUUGGAAAGUCAGAUCUUUGCAGAAUUCAGUCGAAUUUCGGGAAGAAAUUUGAGAUCGGAGUUCUACACUGCAUUAGACACACACUCAGCUCGCUUGAUAGAAAUUUUCAAAAAAAGAGGAGGAAAUCAGGGAAAAAAACUAGAUGAGAUUUUGCAACAAGUUUAUUCUAAGCCAUCUGAUGUGACAGUUGUCCGCUCCGCAGUUCUUCAGGGUCUUCCAGUCCUUUUGGGGGAUGAGUCUGAAGAUUUUUUCAGGAUGUGUUUUG